rnacentral:misc_RNA from 1 species
GAUGAAGAACGCAGCGAAAUGCGAUACUUGGUGUGAAUUGCAGAACCCCGUGAACCAUCGAGUCUUUGAACGCAAGUUGCGCCCGAAGCCAUCAGGUUGAGGGCACGUCUGCCUGGGCGUCACAUAUCGUUGCCCAAUGCCUAUUGCAGUGCAAUAGGAAUUUCUAGGGCGAAUGAUGGCUUCCCGUGAGCGUUGUUGCCUCGCGGUUGGUUGAAAAUCGAGUCCUUGGUAGGGUGUGCCAUGGUAGAUGGUGGUCGAGUUAGAACGAUACCGAUCAUGUGCAUGCUCCCCAAAAUAUGGCCUCUAUGACCCACACGCGUCUUUUGACGCUCAUGACGAGACCUCAGGUCAGGCGGGGCUACCCGCUGAAUUUAAGCAUAUCAAUAAGCGGAGGA